rnacentral:lncRNA from 1 species
UGUGAAAUACUUAAGAAUCUCAUUAAAUGAAAGGAUAAAUUAUACUGAGCUUGAUCAUGAAGAUGCUGUGAAUGAUGAUUGCGUGAUAUGUUUAGAAGAGCUUGGAAAGUUCUUGCCCAGUUUGCCGUUAUCAUCUCUAGAUAUAUAGCUUCUUCCCCUUUUGUUUUUUGAUGUUACCAUGUAAAUACCUCAUCUAUCUGUUGUUUAUAUUGAAGUUGA